UACAGGAGGGUCCCGAGCGUUGUUCGGAUUCAUCGUGGGCGUAAAGGGUGCGUAGGUGGUGAGGUAAGUCGGAUGUGAAAUCUCCGGGCUCAACCCGGAAAUGGGACAUUGGAAACGUACCUUGCUCGGAGGGUUGGAGGGGGACUGGAAUUCGUCGGUGUAGCAGUGAAAUGCGUAGAUAUCGAGAGGAACACCAGUGGCGAAGGCGAGUCCCUGGACAACUCCUGACACUGGAGGCACGAAAGCGUGGGGAGCGAACAGG
rnacentral:rRNA from 1 species